rnacentral:rRNA from 1 species
UGGGGAAUUUUGGACAAUGGGCGCAAGCCUGAUCCAGCCAUGCCGCGUGUCUGAAGAAGGCCUUCGGGUUGUAAAGGACUUUUGUCAGGGAAGAAAAGGCUGUUGCUAAUAUCGACAGCUGAUGACGGUACCUGAAGAAUAAGCACCGGCUAACUACGUGCCAGCAGCCGCGGUAAUACGUAGGGUGCNGCGAGCGUUAAUCGGAAUUACUGGGCGUAAAGCGAGCGCCAGACGGUUACUUAAGCAGGAUGUGAAAUCCCCGGCCUCNCACNGGGAAUNGCGUUCUGAACUGGGUGACUAGAGUGUGUCAGAGGGAGGUAGAAUUCCACGUGUAGCAGUGAAAUGCGUAGAGAUGUGGAGGAAUACCGAUGGCGAAGGCAGCCUCCUGGGAUAACACUGACGUUCAUGCUCGAAAGCGUGGGUAGCAAACAGGAUUAGAUACCCUGGUAGUCCACGCCCUAAACGAUGUCAAUUAGCUGUUGGGCAACUUGAUUGCUUAGUAGCGUAGCUAACGCGUGAAAUUGACCGCCUGGGGAGUACGGUCGCAAGAUUA